UGCUAGUCGCGUGCCUCAGCCAAAACGAGGCACGGCGCACAGCUCAGUAGCACGUGGCUAAUCUGCCCUUAGGACGAGAAUACCCCCGGGAAACUGGGGCUAAUUCGCGAUAGGCGAAGAACACUGGAAUGUGUCUUCACCUAAAAGACCCUACGUUAUGCUCGUAGAAGUCGCCUAAGGAUGAGGCCGCGACCGAUCAGGUUGUUGGUGAGGUAAUGGCUCACCGAGCCUUUUACCGGUGCGGGCCGUGAGAGCGGGAGCCCGGAGAUGGGUACUGAGACAAGGACCCAGGCCCUACGGGGCGCAGCAGUCGCGAAACCUUUGCAAUACACGAAAGUGUGACAGGGCUAUCCCGAGUGCCAUCCGCUGAGGAAGGCUUUUACCCAGUCUAGAAAGCUGGGGGAAUAAGGAGAGGGCAAGUCUGGUGUCAGCCGCCGCGGUAAUACCAGCUCUUCGAGUGGUGUGGAUGUUUAUUGGGCCUAAAGCAUCCGUAGCUGGCUAGGUAAGUCCCUUGUUAAAUCCACCGAAUUAAUCGUUGGAUCGCGGGGGAUACUGCUUGGCUAGGGGACGAGAGAGGCAGACGGUAUUUUCGGGGUAGGGGUGAAAUCCUAUAAUCCCGGGAAGACCACCAGUGGCGAAGGCUGUCUGCUAGAACGCGCCCGACGGUGAGGGAUGAAAGCUGGGGGAGCGAACCGGAUUAGAUACCCGGGUAGUCCCAGCUGUAAACGAUGCAGACUAGGUGUUUGAACGGCCACGUGCCGUUCUAGUGCCGCAGGAAGCUGUUAGUCUGCGCUGGGGAGUACGAUCGCAAGAUUGAAACUUAA
rnacentral:rRNA from 1 species